GACAGAGGGGGCAAGCGUUGCUCGGAAUCACUGGGCGUAAAGGGCGCGUAGGCGGGAUGGCAAGUCAGUCGUGAAAUCUCUCGGCUCAACCGAGAAACGUCGGCUGAUACUGCCGUUCUUGAGGGAUGCAGAGGAGACUGGAAUUCCCGGUGUAGCGGUGAAAUGUGUAGAGAUCGGGAGGAACACCGGUGGCGAAGGCGGGUCUCUGGGCAUCUCCUGACGCUGAGGGCGCGAAAGCGUGGGGGAGCAAACGGG
rnacentral:rRNA from 1 species